UAGCAUGUUCGUUUCAUUAACGCUGGCGGUUGCGGCAGCGGCUGCGGUAGCGGUGGCGGCAAACACUACCGCAGGUUGUUGUUCGUUUUGUUGCCGCAGACGCUGCCGCAGCCGCUGCCGCAACCGCAGGUUUCUUUGUUCGUUUCGACG